rnacentral:rRNA from 1 species
GAGGAGCCCGCGGCCGAUUAGCUAGUUGGUGAGGUAACGGCUCACCAAGGCAAUGAUCGGUAGCUGGUCUGAGGGGAUGGCCAGCCACACUGGAACUGAGACACGGUCCAGACUCCUACGGGAGGCAGCAGUGGGGAAUCUUGCGCAAUGGGCGAAAGCCUGACGCAGCGACGCCGCGUGGGGGAUGAAGCUUCUCGGAGUGUAAACCCCUUUCGACCGGGACGAAUGCCCGCAAGGGAGUGACGGUACCGGUAGAAGAAGCCCCGGCUAACUACGUGCCAGCAGCCGCGGUAAGACGUAGGGGGCCAGCGUUGUUCGGAAUUACUGGGUGUAAAGGGUUCGUAGGCGGUGUGGCAAGUCGGGAGUGAAAUUUCUGGGCUUAACUCAGAGACUGCUUCCGAAACUGCUGUGCUGGAGUGUGGGAGAGGCGCGUGGAAUUGCAGGUGUAGCGGUGAAAUGCGUAGAUAUCUGCAGG